GGGGGUGUCAGAGGGCAAAACCCUGGUACAAGCAGGGGCAGAGGGGGUAGCAGUUACCCCAGUGGCACUGAGACACCAGUGCUUUGUAAACUGGAGAGCAGUGGGUUAAAAGCAGAUGCAGCAGAAGGAAAAAACGGAAGGUCUUUCUUUAUAGAGGGAAAAAAGCCCAGCUCUGAGAUCGCUGCUCAGCCAUCCCUCUUACACAGAAGCCGGGGUCCCAGUCCCAUUCAGUACCUGCACAGGCUGUCUCUCCGCUCGCUGAAUUGCAGCUGCAACCCUUCCGCUAGUGUUUGUCUGCGCAGUGACGGGGUUAAACCACAGAGCUCAUACGCCUUUGUAGAGAGGACCAGGAACUACUGCAAGGGGGGGAAUUAAUACAAAAGGAACUUCCUGUCCCCAACUCUCUGUCCGCCUCACUUGUAACAGCCCACUGCAGCAAUUGUGCAUUAGAGCUGCGUGGUUGAAUCCGUUUCCAAAGAAGCAUUGGCCCCAAACAAGGAGGACUAGGUUUCCCUGGUCCCACGUGCUGCCAGCCCAGCGAGGAGGCAGGCAACCCAGCUCCUUCUCCAGCUGUUGCCAGGCCGGGGAAGAUAAUGAUCCAAACAUCGGACCAAAUUCAGUGAUGAAUCCUGGUCACGUGCCCCCUGUGGGACAUUGCACAUAUGCUAAGAAGACUCAUUACAGUCAUCUCCAUUGGAGCCAGGAGAGGGAGAGAGAGCAAGCAGUAACUGCUGGGAGCUUUAGGAAUAGGAACUGGGACCCAUUACAGGACUUAAGCCUGCAGGAAGCACCUCUUGCGAGUGAAUGUCACUUGGACCAAUAAAGCCAUCUAGAUUUGUUUAAAUAGUUCAUCUCCAGAGUGUGAUGUGCAAGCCUACAUAUCAUCAAACCACCACAAAAGGUAUGCGCAGCAGAAAAUGGUUAAUGGAGCUGAUCCUAACUAUGGGAUGCUAAGGAUGAAUGUUUUUCACCAAGCAUACAAGUGAGAUGCAGAACUGAGACAACUAGAGCAUAGGCCCAAGCUGGAGUAACCUCACAAAGACAGACAACAGACAUGCAGCAGUGAGUAACUGCAUCUGUGUGCCUUCAGUUAUAGACACUGACAAACUGAGUGGUGCAAUCUGAAGUAAAGAUGGAGGAG